ensembl:lncRNA
AUAACUUGGAAAUAAAGUGCUAGUAUUGAACUCUUUUCCUCUACCUCAACUCCUACAGAUAUUAAUCAAGAGCUUGAUUGUCGCUGAGCCUACACACACUGUUGUGUGUUUGCAUAAGAAGCCAACCAGAUCCAACCAUAACACCAUGAGCCAACACUGAAUCAUCCACCUGUUCCAGAAGGGCCUGCGUCUCCAUGACAACCUGUCCCGGUUGGGGGCCCUGGAGUCAUCAGUGUGUGUGUGUACCCCGUGUUCAUCCUGGACAUGCGCACUGGGGCCGUGCGCUGGAGAUUCCUCCUGCAGAUCAUGUCUGGAAGACCUCCACCAUAGCCUCCAGGCCAUAGGCACCAGGCUGUAUGUGCUCCAGGGGCCCUACCAGGGGACAGUGAUGCAUCCGGUGGCCCAGUGGGGCACCACCCAGCUCAGCAUGGACACUGAGAUAGAGCCCCACAACACCCAGCUGGACCAGCAGCACCGCAUCCUGGCCAGGGAGCAGGGACUCAACAUACAUGCCACCGUGGCACACACACUCUAUUAUGUCAAGAGGAUAUUGAAGGCCAACGGAAGGGGAACCCCCUCUGACAUACAAGAAGUUUCUACACGUCGUGUCCAAUCUGGGGGAGCCAGACAAACCUGCCAGGGAGAUCACAGCUCAGGACUUUUAUUACUUCUGCUCAAAUUGAGGCCUCUAUUUAGGCCGCCAUUAAGGCGGUGCUGAUGUCAAACUCGCGCUCUUUGGCAAUUUCGACUUGUAAAAGCGAGCUAUUUUUCAACCCUGGUGCCAGGGUUCGGAAUUUACCUGUCUUAUCAGCUCGCUUCCGCUGAGGUGAGAGGGGUGGAAAUAUUUGAGAUGUGUCCUUAAAACUGUGAGCCAAUCUUGGCAGUCUUGACAGUAACGCAAUUGGUUAUGGCUUCCAUUUUGCCAGCAGAGGCACAUAGUAGUCUAAUCAGAAGCCUAUAACCAAUGUUUUAUUAAAAUAUCACGAGCAGCAAAACAGUCAACAAACGACAUGAAGGGUGACAAACCGCCCUUGCUGUCUGUGCCUGGCCGGUUCCCCUCUCUCCACUGGGAUUCUCGGCCUCUAACCCUACUCCGGGGGCUGAGUCAGUGGCUUAAUGGUGCCCUUCCAUGCCGUUCCUAGGAGGGGUGUGUCACUUGAGUGGGUUGAGUUACUGACGUGAUCUUCCUGUCCGGGUUGGCGCCCCCCUCGGGUUCAUGCUGUGGGGGAGAUCUUCAUGGGCUAUACUCGGCCUUGUCUCAGGGUAGUAAGUUGGUGGUUGAAGAUAUCCCUCUAGUGGUGUGGUGGCUGUGCUUUGGCAAAGUGGGUUGGGUUAUAUCAUGCCUGGUUGGCCCUGUCCGGGGGUAUAGUCGAGACGGGGCCAAAGUGUCUCCCGACCCCUCCUGUCUCAGCCUCCAGUAAUUAUGCUGCAAUUGUUUAUGUGUCGGGGGCUAGGGUCAGUCUGUUAUAUCUGGAGUAUUUCUCCUGUCUUAUUCGGUGUCCUGUGUGAAUUUAAGUAUGCUCCCUCUAAUUCUCUCUCACUUUCUCUCUUUAUCUCUCUUUCUCUCUCUCAGAGGACCAUGCCUCAGGACUACCUGGCCUGAUGACUCCUUGCUGUCCCCAGUCCACCUGAUCGUGCUGCUGCUCCAGUUUCAACUGUUCUGCCUGCGGCUAUGGAACCCUGACCUGUUCACCGGACGUGAUACCUUGUCCCGGACCUGCUGUUUUCGACUCUCUCUCUCUACCGCACCUGCUGUCUCUAACUCUGAAUGAUCGGCUAUGAAAAGCCAACUGACAUUUACUCCUGAGGUGCUGACCUGUUGCACCCUCUACAACCACUGUGAUUAUUAUUAUUAUUUGACCCUGCUGGUCAUUUAUGAACGUCUUGAACAUCUUGGCCAUGUACUGUAAUAAUUUCCUCCCUGCACAGCCAGAAGAGGACUGGUCACCCCUCAUAGUCUGGUUAUUCUCUACGUUCCUGUCUUUCUAAGGAGUUAUUCCUAGCCACCGUGCUUCUACAUCUGCAUUGCUUGCUGUUUGGAGUUUUAGGCUGGUGUCACGUCCUGACCUUAGUUCCUUUGUUAUGUCUUUGUUUUAGUAUGGUCAGGGCGUGAGUUGGGUGGGUUGUCUAUGUUCGUUUUUCUAUAAUUUGGGAUUUCUGUGUUCGGCCUAGUAUGGUUCUCAAUCAGAGGCAGCUGUCAAUCGUUGUCCCUGAUUGAGAAUCAUACUUAGGUAGCCUGGUUUCACUUUUGAGUUGUGGGUGUUUGUCUUCCGUGUCAGUGCUUGUUACCACACGGGACUGUUUUGUUUAUUCACGUUUAUUGUUUUGUUUCAGUGUUCUGUUGUGUUUGAUUAAACAUUAUGGACACUUACCACGCUGCGCAUUGGUCCUC